CCGAAUGGGGAAACCCAGUGUGACUCGUCACACUAUCAUUAACUGAAUCCAUAGGUUAAUGAGGCGAACCGGGGGAACUGAAACAUCUAAGUACCCCGAGGAAAAGAAAUCAACCGAGAUUCCCCCAGUAGCGGCGAGCGAACGGGGAGGAGCCCAGAGCCUGAAUCAGCAUGUGUGUUAGUGGAAGCGUCUGGAAAGGCGCGCGAUACAGGGUGACAGCCCCGUACACAAAAGCGCAUGUGCUGUGAGCUCGAUGAGUAGGGCGGGACACGUGGUAUCCUGUCUGAAUAUGGGGGGACCAUCCUCCAAGGCUAAAUACUCCUGACUGACCGAUAGUGAACCAGUACCGUGAGGGAAAGGCGAAAAGAACCCCGGCGAGGGGAGUGAAAAAGAACCUGAAACCGUGUACGUACAAGCAGUGGGAGCACAGGUUUACCUGUGUGACUGCGUACCUUUUGUAUAAUGGGUCAGCGACUUAUAUUCUGUAGCAAGGUUAACCG
rnacentral:rRNA from 1 species